rnacentral:rRNA from 1 species
CACGUAGGGCGCAAGCGUUGUCCGGAUUAUUGGGCGUAAAGAGCGUGUAGGCGGCCAGACAGGUCUGCUGUGAAAAACUCGAGGCUCAACCUCGAGAUGUCGGCGGAAACCGUCUGGCUAGAGUCCGGAAGAGGAGAGUGGAAUUCCUGGUGUAGCGGUGAAAAUGCGCAGAUAUCAGGAAGAACACCUAUGCGAAGGCAGCUCUCUGGGACGGUACUGACGCUGAGACGCGAAAGCGUGGGGAGCGAACAGG